rfam:Dipodomys ordii contig_33307, whole genome shotgun sequence.
CUGCCCGCCACGCGCUCUCCACUGGCCCGGAUGGCGCAGCCCUCCCUCCCCCCUCCCCACCUCCCCUUCUGGGCCUUCGGGAGUGUGGGCGCCCAGCGGCACCAGCAAGUCCCUGCAG